AAAGUCAAAAUGAAGCACUGAAACGUUAUUUCACAAAGCAGAACAUCUUCUCAUUUCACUUUGGGAGGUUUUGUCCGAGACACUUACUGUCCUCUGGGUAAUUCCUUGGGGCAAAACCUGAAUCACAGAAUCCCAAGGGUGUAGCCUUUACAACAUAUGAACUUCAUUUUAAGAUCUUCAGAUCUGUGUGUGUUUAAGUGAUGUUAGCCAUGUUUCUUUCUACUAGAAAGUAAUUUACAAGGAGCUACCAUCUGGUGCUAUCUGGGGCGCCACUUGUUUCCGGACUUAAUCUAAGGGAAAUGUGGUGUCUAAGCUACUCUUUUGCAGCAUUGUUUCCUGGCUCUUGGUUCAACAGUGGUAAUACCAAAUGGGUUGUCUUAAGAACCAAGGAGGACUCCUGCUGCUCUGCCCAAUCGCUUCCCUCCAGGCAGCCUGGCAGAACUGCUGGGGGUAUUCAGAAGCUCUUGGUUUAGAUUUUAGUUUCUUAAUGGCAGUGUAGGGUUUGGGGGUGGGCGAUGCAAAGGUGGGAGGCUCCAGCCCUCACAUUUGGAUAUUCUUGUUAUGUAUAUAACAUGCAAACAAUUUCUUUCAAAGCAAACUACUGUCAUUUAGAAGCAAUGGGGCUUUUGCUUGUGUGCAAACAAUUAAGGAGGGGACCCUGUUUCUUUUCAGUCUCAGUGCUUCUAUAUGCCAUAUGCUGCCUCCAACCUUAUGGAGAUUUGAUGAUUUAUUUUCAAGGAGUGGUGUGUUUAAGCGUGCAGGUUAUCAAAGAUAUGUUACAUGUAUGAAAAUAUAUCAUCUUCUAAGCUGCCCUGGUUCUCACUAAUGGGCAGUAAGUAAAUGCACUUUCAGUAGAGCCUGUGGUUUGACAAAAUUAUCCAGUAGAACAAAGAUCAGCUUUCGGCUGGCUUGGGGUUUGAAAACAAACUGCAAAAUGGUGCAUAAAUUGGUACCAUGUGUAGCAUUUCCUGAAUCGGAUACAGCUUAUAAUGGCAACAGCUUUGGUAAGCUAGGAAAUAAGCAGAACUUAGCGUUUGGAUUCUGUCACUUGUUUCUGAUAGCUCUUUUGUAAAUAUUUGAAUAAGCAAGGAUACAAUGGGAUGAGCUUUAAGGUCCCUUCCAACCCAAACCAUUCUGUGAUUCCAUGAUUAUGCUUUCUAGUUAAGCCCAUUUCAUGUAAUGCUCAGCUGCAGAAUAAGCUUCAGCAGUGACCUGGUUUAGAAGACAAACACUUAAAAGUCAAUUCCAGUAAACAUAGUUGUUGUCACCUGCUUCAGUAAGUACAGCUACACGGAGAAUUCCAUCCCAAGCAGUCCUAGAGGCUGAAGGCUGAAUGAGAACAACCAGAGCAGUCUGUGUAAUGCUUACUCUGCUCAGCAGCUUAUGAAACAGGAGUAAACGGGUGACCUGGCAUGAACCGUUCCCUGAGACAGCCUGUAAAAGCUCAUCUCGCUUCAUUACUGCUAACCUCUUUGUAAGUGAAAUGACUGCCUACAACUAAGAACUCUGCAGCAGCACUGCAAACCAAAGAACUAGUUAACCUGAUGCCACCCCUAGUAGAUACUCACUAGGAUUUUAAACAAGCACCUGCCUUAAAAGAAUAAUCAUCAUGUGAUUAAAUUAUUUAUACUUGAAGCCAACUUGCAGAUGCUUUCAUCUGCUAAAAAAUACAUGACCUCUGAGGGCUUCAGAGACUGAAAGUACAGAUUGCAUGUUUGAAGAUGUUUUGCAAAUCUUAAUCACAAUAAAAGAGAUGGUAAUAAACCAGCAUCCUUUUUAUUUCAAAAGACAUCCAGUUGCAAGUUGAAUACUGCUGUUGCCCAGGAGAGUCUCGUAGUCAGGUGCAGAUCAGGUUUUCCUGUGUUUAGAAGCAAAGAGUUGAGGCUCUUUGAAGCUGUAAGUAUCUCUGUUGUAAUGCUUUAGUCACACUGAGCUCAGGAGGCAUAAGGAUUCACAGCAGGUUUUUUGCUGCUGUUCUGAGCCUGGCUCUGGUAGACUUCAAGUGAACAGACACCUACUCCCUUAAUGCAGACCUGCACAUCCAGCUUUUGCCCCCCAAGACUGUGUCCAAGUUUGAAGUGUUUUUUCUUCAGGAGGAAGGAGAUUCUCUUGCAAAGUCCACUGGAGUAUGCAGUUGAUAAGUCAUCUCCUGGUGCUUGUUCCCUACCCUGCUGCUCUGUAUCCAGUUAGUUCCACAAGCCACUGGGAGAUGGGAUAUACAAGCCUAAACAGAUUUUGUUGUACAACAGUUUAACAUCAAAGGUGAUAUAAGAAGAGCUAUAUUUUCCAGGAGAAAUCUACUCUAACAGCUUGUUCACUUGAGUGACCUGAAAAAUUAUGGUCUAAUAAAGAGGGAAAUAAAAUGUGAAACGACCUGGUACAUCUGUCCUCCACCUCCCUCUGACUGCUUUCACAUGUUUCAGUGCAAGACAAAUAUGAAAGCUACAUUCAAAAUUAGGCCAAAUCAAGUAUAAAGACAGUAAACAUCAAUAGAGCUGGGGCAUCUGUUUGCAUCUGCCUUUAGAGUGGUAAGGACAAGUCAAAAAAGUGAGAGGAUUAGCCACAAUUACAGUUCUUCUUAUUUUUAUGUCUUGCUUAAAAAAACAGAAAGAUGCAAAUCUGGCAAUGAAAAAUAUCUAAUAUUCAUAGCUAAAUUAAAAGUCACUAUCCUUUGGACAGAUUAUGUAUUUGGGAAAACACAAAGCAACUACUUCAGACACCUAGCUUAGGUAGAACGUUUCCUGUAGAGAAGAGAGGCGGCUGCCUCCAGAGAGCCUCUCCAGGCUGAAUCAGAUGUACUGAUGGGCAAAUAUUCCAAUGCAAGGUAACAAAGCUGUCAAUAAUGUUAUCAAAAUUACUGCCAGUGGUAAGGCACAGAUAAAAUAAUUCCAUGCUUGGAAGGGCUCUGCCUACAUCACAUCUGUUCUCCAAAAGAAAGGUUUCUAAGGCUUUCAGCACAGCUAUUUGGCCAGUCUGAUUCACUACACUACAGCACCAGAACUCCGAUAGCACAGGUGUGUAUGAGUUCAUACAUACUCCUUCAGCAGUUUGCUGGUUUGUAAAAAUUAAUAUGGAAAAUUGUCCCGAGUACCUCCUUAAGAACUUGUUCUGGGCUGUGUUUAACUUAGUCCAACACACACCAUUAAAACCAUUGCUUACUAGAUACUGGUUAAAUGCAUGUCAACUUGGAAAUGAAGCAUCAAAAGAGGAAUUAAAAAAUAAAAAAGAAUUUCUGUUCCAUUAUUAAUCACACAAGUUUCUGAGAUUUGUUUUUGGUUAGCAAUUUUUACAGAAGGUGUAAAUGCAGGUACAGUGCCCCAACAGGCCUCGAGACCCAACAAAAGAGAAAUGUGAUCAAUAAACAUUGUAAAUGAGAUGAGACACAUGGAGGUCAAGCUUCUGUUACUAUGUGCAAGGGAGCGUUUAAAAAUUAACAGCAAGGAAAAGUAUUAGUACAAGUCUUCAUGUACAAGUUAGCACGAUCUAGAAAACUAGGAGUUUUGUGAUUGCAGAUGUGAUACUUCGGAAAUAUCUGAAAUGCUUUUUGUUAUAGAAAUCUCUGUAACUUACACCAUUGUACAAUAGCGUAUUUAGAAAAAGUGCCAGUCCCUGAGCCAGCAGGUAAGAGCCUAAAAGAUAUUUAUAUCUCUCUAAAAAUAUUUAAAAAUAAAAAUUAAGACAUUAGUUAAGCUUUUAGCCAUAAACGCGUAAGAGCAACUACAGCAAUCAAUCUUGGGAAGAGAAGAGGGAAAAGUAAGUUACAGAGGGAUAAACUUCUUUCAGUUUGCUACUUGAGUUGCUGAAAGGUGCUUACUACCAGUUUUGCAGGUAGAGUUCACCCUGUGUCCCCUGGUUUUCCAAAUGGUUUUCCAGCUGGGCCUAGAAAAGGCAGUGCUUGAACAGGGUUUCCAGAAACAUAUAUAAUACACAGAAUACGGAGUACAGCAACUAUUAGCAGUUAUUUGUGUCUGUGCACAAAUGAGAAGAAAUUUUAAGUGAGGUCCAGAAAUGAAGAAGCAGGACAAAUGAGUCCCUGUGACCAAAACUAGACAAAUGAUAGCCUACAGCUUCUGUUUGUCUCACCUUUGCUUUAGCUAGAGAGGAGAAAAAAGAAAACAAGGCACAGCUAUCUCUGCACACUGCAAAGGAAGACCACUGUUGUGCCAUGGAGUACACUGGUUUAGUGCCAAGCAAGUGAAAUAAAGGACAAUGUGACCACACCAGAACCAAAGGCCUGAUGUUUCAUACCACAAGGAAGUGAUAACUUGCCACGAAAAAAAAAAGGCAUGGAGAAAGGGAAGUCCUGUGAAGUGCCACCAAUUGAUAAUACCUUCUUCGAUGAGCUCUCUGAAAAUCAGUUAGUUUCUGCAGAAGUGGAAAUGCCAGUAUUCCAGAAACCAAUGUCCUUGAGUCAAAAUCAACCUUUCCUUAGAUGCUGAACAGUUUAAAUAUUAACACAUGGGAAAAUUCCAGGUACACAAAUAUGCUGCUUGUUGGAGACCAGAGAAAGCUGCUUGGUGUGUCCAGCUUCUUCAGAGUAUUUCCCCCCCCCCGCCAUCGUGUCCAAGUGUAACUGGCUCAAGUGCAAAUGGCAUCUAGAAUGAAUGCUUCAGGUCUCUGAAACACAAAAUAAAGAUAUUGAGAUGUUAGUGAUACAAGAAUUAAACGACAAAUUUGCCUUAAAGGGGAAAUGAAGGUGGGUUUUCUUUGAAGUAUGCAUAAUAGUAAAGGUAAAGCCAGAAAAUGCUGGCCACAUUUCUCUCAGAGCUUUGAGGAGAUUGUGGACAGAAAAAAAGACUUAUUUUUCAAGUUGCAUUAAGGUGACUGGGUGUUUUUAACAAGAGCAGUAAGUACAAAUGGGGGGACAACAGAUGUAAUGUUCCAAAGCGAUAAAGAACUACCACAUUUAACAAAUAUGGAGCAAAAAGACAAGGUCCCAGACACCACAUUUGGCAAUUUUAUUAGGAAGCUGCCUGUGUGAGAAGCAUGAAGGCAGGAUCACACAGCUGCUGGUUUUGUACAAAUGUAAACUUGUUUUAAAUAUCCUUUGGUCUUGUCUCUACCUGAAGUUACACAAACCAGCUACUGGUUCUCCUUUACUGAGGCACUGCAAGUUUAUUAAACCAAUUUCAGCAGUAGAUACCAAUCAUGUUCAUGUGUGUGAAGAUACCCUAGCUGUGCACAGCUACAUGCGAUACAUGAUAUAGAGCUGUACGAGCUAUUACCAUCUUCUAGGCAGAACUGUGUUUCAUGCUGUCAUGAUGAUCUCAGUUACAUGUGAACAGGUUUCUCACAUAAGACCUAGCUUUCUAACUAGGGAUUCCACAAUUCUAGUUACAAUUAAGCCACAAAGCCCUUGGAGUUGACAGUUUAUGGAAAACAGAAGGAACAAUAGAGGAGAAAUGCCAACACAAAUGCUGUGAAGGCCCUCUUCUUGCCAGAUGGUGCCAGGUAAGCAGUAAGACAUUGCAUAAAACCACUGAUGUUUCCAUAAGACUUAGCCACGUGUGUGUGAAGUUAGGGGAAAGUAGACAAAGUCCACGGAUGGGUGGGAGAAAUUUGCAGGGAGAUACACUUCUCAUGUCUAAAGAGGUAAUGCUCUUUAACAGAAAUGUUCAGAAGUCAGCCUGGCAUAUUAAUGCUGUCUGGAGCCUGGAUUGUAACACACAAAAUAGAUGUCCUGCAACCUCAGUUACAGCUGCAGGGUUCUUCAAAGCACUUUGGUAUUGAGGUGUGCUUUACAGAAAUACAGCAAGAGAUCAAAAAGGGAGCAGAGCUGGCACUGGUACUGGGGAGAAUCAGUAAGGCACCGCAUUAGAGAAUGCGGUAUUAGUAGAGAAACAGCAGAUGAACCGUGGGUGAGCUCAUGCAUCCAGUAUCCUGAUAAGGCAAGGUGUGUCACACCUACCCCCUGCAUUUUGGUUGACUUCUAAGUAUACCAUUAUAUUAAGGCACUAACUGGCUCUGGGUUGGACUGUCAACUCGUGGUCCUCUCCACCCAGCAUACACUAGUAUGAUAAGCAAAAUCUACUUCUCCUCUCUUCCCUCAUUUUUCUUUCACUGUACCAAAAAGAGAUACGCUGGGAUUCCGGUAUUUCACCUUGUCCAUGAUUUGAAUUUCUCGAUGCCUAUUUCAGAUUCUUGUCUCUGCCUCUGUUCCUGCCUAUUGUGCAUGUUUUUUUCCUGUGAAGACAGCUACAAUUCCAAUAACCCUUCAUUCAGUUCUUUUGGCUUUGCCAGUGCAAUUUUGAGGCCUUCUGAAAAGAA